rnacentral:rRNA from 1 species
CGUAGGGUGCGAGCGUUAAUCGGAAUUACUGGGCGUAAAGCGUGCGCAGGCGGUGAUGUAAGACAGGUUGUGAAAUCCCCGGGCUCAACCUGGGAACUGCAUCUGUGACUGCAUCGCUGGAGUGCGGCAGAGGAGGAUGGAAUUCCGCGUGUAGCAGUGAAAUGCGUAGAUAUGCGGAGGAACACCGAUGGCGAAGGCAAUCCCCUGGGCCUGCACUGACGCUCAUGCACGAAAGCGUGGGGAGCAAACAGGAUUAGAUACCCUGGUAGUCCACGCCCUAAACGAUGUCAACUGGUUGUUGGGUCUUCACUGACUCAGUAACGAAGCUAACGCGUGAAGUUGACCGCCUGGGGAGUACGGCCGCAAGGUUG